rnacentral:rRNA from 1 species
GUGCCAGCCGCCGCGGUAAUACGGAGGGGGCUAGCGUUGUUCGGAAUUACUGGGCGUAAAGCGCACGUAGGCGGCUUUACAAGUCAGGGGUGAAAGCCCGCGGCUCAACCGCGGAAUUGCCCUUGAGACUGUAUCGCUUGAACACGGGAGAGGUGAGUGGAAUUCCGAGUGUAGAGGUGAAAUUCGUAGAUAUUCGGAAGAACACCAGUGGCGAAGGCGGCUCACUGGACCGUAGUUGACGCUGAGGUGCGAAAGCGUGGGGAGCAAACAGGAUUAGAAACCCUAGUAGUCC